UUCACUGAUGUUCUGGGACCAGCACCAGACUAUCUUGUUGACGCCUGCAACAAAUCAAAAGGGUUUUUUAAAAAGUCAAACUCUAACCAGUGGAUACUGAAGUCACCUGUGGAAUACUGGGGAGAGGAACACCAUAAACACAAAAGGUGCUUCAACUUUCGUUUUUUGCAUCAAGCUAAAAUGAGUCACCUGAAGUAUGAAAAACUGGCUGCAACAGAGGAGAGGAAGGAAUGCAUAGCGCUGAUUAAGGCAAUGCUUCAGUGGGAUGCAAAGGAGAGGAUUACUCCCAAAGGCAUCCUGAGACAUUCCUUUAUUGUCAGGAAAAGCGACAGUCCUUGCAGCCCUCUCCCUGAAUCUAACACUGCAUUCAAGCAGGAACCUUGCGCCAGCCAGGUCACGGCUCAUCCUAAAAUCGCAAGUCAAAAUAUGAAAGAUGUCAAAGUAAAGAGAAGAACAUAUGACAUUUCACAGCAGUCAAAAGAUUUAGACAAGAAACUGCCUCCACGGCCAAGCAUAAACCAGCCAUCUUGUGAACAGUUGAGCAAACCUUCACCUGUAGAAAACAGACUUCUCUCACAGAAGAUAGAUGGUAAGAGACCAGCAGCGAGCACAACUUUGGAGUCUACCAUCAAACAGGAAGAGCCGGACCCUUCUUCUAUUGUUGAAUCUACCAUAACUAGGGAAACCUGCAGCCAGCUCACUCAUCCUCAGAGCAAAUCAAAACAGAAGAAUUUUUUUGAGAA